GCGCCCGUAGCUCAGCUGGAUAGAGCGACGGCCUCCUAAGCCGUAGGUCGCAGGUUCAAAUCCUGCCGGGCGCGCCA
rnacentral:tRNA from 1 species